rnacentral:rRNA from 1 species
UACAGAGAGUGCAAGCGUUAAUCGGAAUUAUUGGGUGUAAAGGGUGUGUAGGUGGAUGAAAAAGUUAUGUGUGAAAGCCCUAAGCUUAACUUAGGAACUGCAUGUAAUACUUUUUAUCUAGAGUUUUGUAGAGGAAAGUAGAAUUUCCGGUGUAGCGGUGAAAUGCGUAGAUAUCGGAAGGAAUACCAGAGGCGAAGGCGACUUUCUGGACAAUUACUGACACUGAGACACGAAAGCAUGGGGAGCAAACAGG